CAGCCGAGAGAAAGAAGAAAAUUCCAGAGAGAGAAGAGAGAGAGAGAUAUAUAUAUGGAAGCAACCAUAUUAAGGCCAAAUAUUCGAGAAAAGUGCGCUUUCUGAGUUCGUGAAGCGGAAAUUGUGAACCCUAACAAGUCUUUGAGAGCGCCGAGUUUACAGAAAUAAAUGGUGUUUUUGGAUCGGUGCGGCGGGAAAUGUGAAACUUAACAAGUCUUAUGAGGUGCAGCAUGAACCUAGUGAUUCUGUCUCUAGCAUUGGUUUCAGUCCAAGGUUAGAUGCUGGGAUGUCAUGAUAGCAGUCAGGCGAAAAGAGUCCUUAUAUCCAUGAGCAACUGGUCAUAUUCUGUGCUCUACAUUGAAGGAUGAUGAUUCCACAAUGUUUACUAGAGGAUGUGAUAAGAUUGAGAAACUGUGGCCCUUGACGUCUGGCGGCCAACUGAUACAAGAUGUAGUGCAUGAUGCAGGAUGAUGAUUCCACAAUGUUUACUAGAGGAUGUGAUAAGAUUGAGAAACUGUGGCCCUUGAUGUCUGGCGGCCAACUGAUACAAGAUGUAGUGCACGAUGCAGGAUGAUGAUUCCACAAUGUUUACUAGAGGAUGUGAUAAGAUUGAGAAACUGUGGCCCUUGAUGUCUGGCGGCCAACUGAUACAAG